GGGCUGUGAUGACUGAUUACAUUUCUCGAUACUGAUCUAAUUUUGCUUUUCAUUAGGACCAACAAAGAAGCUGUUAUUAGUUUUGAUGACUGCGUUUGUGCGUGUCUGAGCCUU
rfam:Jatropha curcas cultivar GZQX0401 scaffold341_95, whole genome shotgun sequence.